rnacentral:tmRNA from 1 species
CCCCUUCCCUUCACCUCCCUUUCGUCCUAUAUUAGCCGUGCCGGUUUACCGGCUAUGGCGAUAAACGCUAUGCGGAAUAAACGUUACGGACCCGGGGGCAGUGCCCGGCGCCUCCACCAUUACCGGUUAGACCUUUUAAAACACGCUAAGUGCGAUGUGGUCUUUUCUAAUGGGGGCGAAACAGGAUCGACGUGCGUGGUAAAGGUAUAGUUUUUGCCCGGCAUGGUACCGCCGUUAUCGGGCCAAACCUAGAAAUGCCAACGAUAACGAGGCAUUUGCAGUAGCCGCUUAAGGCUACGCGGGGUUCGG